GAAAAAACCACCCACAACCCUCCUCCUCCUCCUGCCCCCUAAAGCAUCGACGGCCACUGAGUGGCCGCCGAUGCUUUAGGGGGCAGGAGGAGGGUUGUGCAUGGGAGGGAAAGAGGGAGGAAAAGAGGAAUGAAGGAGGGAAGGAUGUGCUCAGGAGGGAGGGUUAGCGAAGAAAGGGGGAAUGGAGGAGGGAGGUACGGAGGAGGCAAGCCGGAGGGGCAGGCGGGAGAGGAGGAGAAGAAAGGGGGCAUAAGAGGAAGCAGCACGGAUGGGCGGAGGGGCAGCGACAGAAGAUCGGGCCCUUGCAUAGGUUGCGUUUGGACAGAGAGAGACGAGAGGCCGGCAGCUGCAAACAGCAGAGACAGUAAUGACAUGGUGGCUUCACAAAACUCAACUUUGAAGAAUUUGGUGAUGGCAUAGCAUUACUGAUCAGACAGAGCCUGGACUGGAGCCACAGUGGAAAUCGUGUACUUGGCAAGCAAGCCCCUUCGGCAUUGUUCCACAUGAUCCCAAGUAAACCAAGCAAGAGGUAUUUGACCUGCUUGGAAUCUGUGUAAAAUAUCUAUUGACAACACCAGGGGAACCCGAGCAGUGAUUUCUUUUGUAGCAUCCUCUCUUUGCAAAUGCAUCAGCGUGGGGAAUCUCAGACAGCACAGGACUGGAUUUGGAAUCCUGCCUUCAGGAAGACAAGUAGCAAAAAUGAAUGCUUCAGUUCUGAAUGCCAUGGCCCUAACUUCUCCAGGCCUGAAACACAAAGCUUCCCUUCUUUGUACUGCAUUCAAUUGUACCUGCUUCUCGCUCGCCUGAUGUUCUCCUAGGAUUUUCUCAUGUCAUUACUGUGUUGCAGCUACUAUGAGAAAGCAGACUACCCAUUGUUCAAGAAUUCUUGAAAACAGCGAUGACAAUGCAGUGUUUUAAAUGUUUUAAUUCUAGGACCACUUCACAGAAAAUAUCUGAGAGAGUGAGAAGGGAAACAACUGGGAUAACCAAAGUCAAACCUUCUGUUUCAUGUGAUCAGGGAAUACUUUGUGCAAAGUUCCUGCAGUCCCUGUAUAAAGCUGAGAUAGCUGGCACAGCAAAGAGGUGUGCAUUACCAUCGAUUUCCUUGUGGUUGUACCAGUGUGGCCAUGCAGCAACUCAGAGAAACUCACUUAAUCCAACUGGAAAAAACACUCACUCAGAGAAACUCACUUAAUCCAACUGGAAAAAACACUCACACAAAAUAUAUUUUCUCAGCUAAGUUGUUUCAGCUGACGGUGGUGAUGAAGCAGCACACCCCCAAUACAAGGGGAAGGUGAGAAGAUGUGGCCAGGCACAAACUAGAAUUGCACCCUUUCAGCAGAAGUGAAGAUCAGCUACAAGAGGUGUGACACCUUUUCUUCACUGUGGGGUUAGCAGAACACAUCUACACCUAUUCUCUUUGCUUUCAUGAGGCCCCUUCUUCUUUCUCUCCUUUGUAAGAGGCUCAGUGAUGCUCUGAGGCUGUGCUUGUGUCAUAGCUGGAAAGAGAGGCAUGACAUUUGUACUCCUGAGCUGCCUCUGCUGGCAGCAUGGCCCACAUGAACACCUUAUAGCUGUUACUUAGCUCAGGUUUCAAGCCCAGACUCCACAAUUACCCACAGUGGUUUUCAGCUUCAACCUGUGUACAGGGACAAGUUGACUGAUGGAGGUACUAGGAGGGAAAACAUAAGUAGGAAAUGCAAGCAGGAGAAAUUAGUCUGACCUUAGGACACAUGGGGCAGAGUUACCUUAAGUUAUAACAAGUGAACAAAUAAGCCCAGAAUGAGGACUGUCUCACAAGGACUCAGCAUGAGAUAUGGUAUAUGAGCAGCAUCAGGACAUGUGGUGCCCUUGCAGUGAUUUUAAAGCAUAUAAUUAAAGUUUCAUAGAAUAUGUGGAUGAGCUUAAAAAUAAGCAGUAAGGAUGAAACAGUAACCAUUCUCAAAGCAAUUGUGAAAGUUGAUCCCCUGUCUAUCAUGCUGCUGAUGCAGAUAUUUACAAAGAGAGGCUAAUGCUACUUUAACUGGUGCAAUACAUUAACACUCUCUGGAGAGCUACGAUGGCAUGUGACACAGGUUGCACUAGUAUCCUCUUUGGCCUUGCUCCUAGACAUUUCUCUUAAGACAAAAGCUGAACUGAGUGAUCAGGUGCUAUCAUUUCACUGGGUUUACAAGUCUCACAGUACUCUAUAAUCUGGAGAAGCUCCUCGGCUGGACAUUUCAUAUGCUUAAAGAAUUUCAGGUGUGAACUAUGUCAACCUUUUUUGGUUUUUAAUUGUUCUUCAUUGUAGGCAUUUUUUAACUUAAAAAAAAAAAAAAGAUUCUUGAUGAGCCCAGUAUCUCCCAGUCACAAGUUAAUGACCAUUGUUGCCAAUUCUGCUAUUUGGCUUCCGGGAAGAGGAUUCAUAUGCUAAAAGUUGUGUACUGUGCCAUAGUUUGGGAAGAACUUGUUGGUGUUAGCCCCAGUGUCUGAUCUUCUAAUUUCAGCAGAAGACUCAAACAUCUGAAGAAUGUACCCGGGAUAUGACUCUUCAGCAGACACCAAAUGCGCUCCAGAAAAGCACUGAAAGUACCACUUUAGUAUGAACAAACCUGCUCUACCUACUUGAAAUUUUUAGCCUAUAUGUGAAGGAAUGCAAGAGUCAGCAGUGACUGUAAAUUAUCUCAGUGGCCAAGAAGGCUUUGCUCCCCAUGUCCUUGCUUCCUUCCUUCCUGAUCCACAUGUUCCUCUCUCAAGCACCCAUCCUUCCUUGUUCAGGUUAUAACAGGCUUUGUUGUGAAUUGACGUGACCCACUGCUGACUGAAAUUGUUCCCAAAGAGACAUCAUUAGCUGUGGAACUGGCAUAGUGCAAGCACCAGGAGUGAGUGGUCAAAAAGGGGCAGAAAGGAACGGUGGGAAGGGCAGGUAGCAGUUAGUGCAUCAGCUGUGGAAGAGUUUUGAGUCGGCUUCCUAAAGCUGUGGAACGCCUUGAAGAUGAACAGUCUGUCUUGCAACUAGUAAGGUUCUAUAAACUCUGGUUAAUAAUAUUGCUAAAAUUACUAAUGAAGGCAAAAACUGGAAGGUAAUGCUCUUCAAGCCUGUCUUUGCUGCAGGUAUACCACUGAUAAUGGAGUAAUAUGCAGCUGAAACUUAAUUGGAACACUAAGGAAAGCUUGAGCUAUUUAUGGUAUUUAAUAAUUUAAUAGUACCAAGUGCACUGAUUGUAGUAGUAUUCAUUUUUCUAUUUAAUUUAGUUAUUACUUCUAUUUCUUAAUUAAUAAUGCAAGAGUGUAUUUUUGUGUAGCACUUUUUUGUGAGCAGUUCCCAUUUUGCACCAGUAUUUAAUCAAGAUCUUCCUGCUGUUUGCAAAAAAUUAGUACAUUGCAGUAUAGACACAUUCUGAAAAAUUACUUGAGUCUGUAAUAUAUGAGAUCACUGCAAGGCUCAUAAAGAGGAUCUUAUCACUAAAUGUUUAUUCCAGGAUGUGUAAGAGCCCUCUAAUUUUUACAUUCUUAUGUUUACAACUCUCAGGUAAAAACAGGGAGUUUUAUUUCUCCCACUACAGCUGGGAUUUCAAAGCAUGGAGAUGUUAAAGUCUGUACUCAAAAAGUUAUUUAAGAUAUGGAUCCCAUUUUAUGACCUGCCUAGAAUGCAAAGAAAAGCUUUUGUGGAACAAGCACUGAACUUACAUCUGCCAAAUCCAAGAGGAUCUUCCUUACUACUGGACUUUACUGUCUCACUAAGGUUGCAAUAAAGGGUUCUUUAAAGCUGGGUUUAGAGUACUUUGUUGAGUAGGAAGAAAGAUUUUCUUUUUAAGCUAAGUUUUGAAUGUAGGUCACAGGAGGGCAGAAAGGAUACAAAAUAGCUGCUCAUGCACAUGAUGGCUUUUAUGGGCAAGGAAAAUGAAAGCUGGAAUGUUUUUGGGAAAAAACCCAACUUUAUCCAUGAUAUGAAAACCAAGCUUAAGUUAAGGAAUACUGGGUUGUACUGAAGCCCCAAGGGAUUGAAGUCUGUAGAGAAUAGUCAUCCCACUGGAAAAAUAAAGGAGGUCCUCCAUAGAUUAACUCUAGAAUUUUGCAGUGCUCUAGAACAAGAUGUUGUUAUUUAGAAAACCACUGUGCUGAUAGCCUGUGUGCCUACUCAGAAUGUAUAGGAAAAAAAUAUAAAAUAAUCAAUUUUAAGCCUAUGUCUUAAAUGUGAAGAAAUAAGAUGCUGCAUUUGUGUAAUGGGGUUGCUUUGGUGUAUUGAUGGUAAAUUACUUCUCAGUGUUUAAGAUAAUUUAUGAGUAUAAUCAUGUGUCUAAAUUUUGUACCUCAAUUUUAUAUGAAGUCAUUUUUGUUGAGAUGUUAUUAGUGGACCUGCAUGCAGUUUUUAUGGCUUAGAAAGCAAAUUUAAAAUUUAAGUGCAUAAAAUAAGGAACAAACAUUUUCCAAGGGAACUUGCCCUGACGUGAAAGAAAUUCUUUUGGGGACCUUUAAUCUCCUAUGCUUGAUAUAAGAGACCAGCCUAAAGGAAGAAAAGAAGGUGAAUUCUCAACAGGUGACAUAGACAGAAUAUACUUCAUUAUGACCUGCCUUGUUCUGUGAGAUUUAUGUAUCAUUGGUAACAGGACUGGACUUUAGGUCUUUGCAUGACCUAGUCAGACUAGUUUUAAUUUCCAGAAUAUAGUUUCACUCAAUGAACUUUAAAUAUUUUCAUACUGUAGUAUUCAAAUUUUAAUUUUGUUUUAAUUUUAUGACAUUUUAUUAAUAAAACUGAUUUUAUACAAUUGUAUGGAGAAAAAUGAGUAUUCAAGUGUUGUCAUUUUAGCAGUUCCACAAGUAAUGUAUUUUCAGUUCACAAUAUUUUCUUCUA